rfam:Parcubacteria (Thrbacteria) bacterium GW2011_GWF2_46_218 TX45_C0021, whole genome shotgun sequence.
CCUAUUGUUCCGUCAGUAGUAGCCUAUGGACACGUGCAUUAAGAGUAAUCUUUUUGUGCGAAGCUGUUCAGAGAAAGAGACCUUUCGAAAGAAUAGCCACAACCGCGAGGUAGAGGUAAGACCAUUAGCAUCAUAUGGUCAGGUAG